AGAUGGAAGAGCUACAAAGAUGUGGCGUCCAGAGGCUGGUGAGACCAAAAACUGAGUGAGUUUUCUAGAGCCAGCAGAGAGAAAUGCGUUUCUGCCGACACCUUGAAUUUGACCUAAUGAGAAUUCCUGAGUUUCUGCCCUCCCAAAAGGUUGAGAUUAAAUGUUGUCAGAAGUGGAAUCUGAAGGAGACAACCCUGCAGGCACAACCGCCAUCAGAAUCAACUCCUUUAGGUUGAGUUCUCAGACAUUUUUCAGCAUUUGGAUAAGGACAGACUGUCCUGCUCUGGCCUGGUGACGCCUGAAGAGGUAUUGGACAUUGACACCAUCAGGAGAACAAAGAUGUUUUUCCCAGCCCAGGAAAACAGGAUAGACCUGGGUCAAGAUUACCAAGGAGGUGCUAACACUCUGGGGACAUGACAAAGAUCAGGGAGCCACCUGUGAUACGCUGCUGUGGUGGGAGGUUUGCUUAUGGUUAACUGUCUUUGCUUGGUUCACUAGGAAAAAAGCUAGGGUGAAAGAUGUCAGAGGUGUUUUGAGGUAAAAUAACCCUGUUCUCUCAGAUCAUCGGCUUUCUGACAAUAAAGUGUGUGCUAGAGACUCAGUUCCUGUCUGUUCAGUUGGUUUCCAACAGUGACAGGCAGCCCG